GCUUUAGCAGAACAAUGGUACAAUUAAAACAGUGUUCAGUGAAAAGCAAUGUUCAAUAGCUGAAGGGACAAUGAGGAAGAGACUUCUAUUAUUUUUGGUUCUUUUCUUAGCAAAACCUGGAUUGGAAAAAAAAUUAAUUCUGGUGAAAGCAAGGGCAGUGGUUAGAAUUCUUGUUUGUAGGAAAUCAGGAAAGUAUAUUUUACAUUGAAACAACAGGUAGUAAUGAGGGUGGCAGGCAGAAAGGAAUAAAUUCCUCAUAAUAAAGUAUGUCAGUAAAUCUCCAUGCUCACUUUUUCUUCACAGAGUAAAAAAGGCGCUUUUAGUAUCACUCUUCCUUUUCAACUUGCUAGUAUCUAUUACGUCCCUUGGUUAGUAUUUGUUCAAACAUUUCCCCCCCGUAGAUAAUAAUGGGAAAAAUAUGUUUCAUACACAUGACAUUUGGGGUUAAUUCAGUCUUUAAGCGGAAUAUUCAAAUAUCUUGUACCUUUAAUUUGCCAUGGUCUUCAUAAUAUCAUUGAGAUUAGGCAGUACUGCAUAUCCAUUUUAGUACCUAUAGACUCUUAGUACCUAUAGAGUAAUUCUCUCUCCUGUGCACCCACACAUACACAACUAAACUGAAAGCACACUUUGGAAAUUUCCUGACACCCUAACACAGACAGUCUCAGUUGGGGUAGAGGAACCCUGUCCAUUUUAGUUUCUCUCCAUUGUUAAGUUCAAUUCCCCGUAUUUCUACAUCAGUCUGAUUUAUUAUUAUUAUAUAUUUUUAAAAAACUCUUCAGGAAAAUUCACCAGCAUUUUAAUGUGCAUUUUUCCCCUAACAACCACAUUUGUAUGUUAUUUCCCCUAAUAUUCACAUGCAAUUUUUAAAUGCACACUUUACACCAGUAUAGGCAUUCUUAUACAGACUACUUGGUUGGAGAGUUGCAAUGCAAUAUUGGAGAAGUGUGAAUUUUGAAGGAUGUAUUUGCUUUGGUUUUCAUAUUGUUCUGGAAAAUGCAAAUUAGGUAGAUUCACCUUAAUUUUUCAAUGGAAUUGACUUUGUCUCCCAUCUUGGCCCUCAAGAUACACUUGCCCAGUUAUAACAUAGAACACAGUGAUCCUCAGAUAUUCUGGCCCCUCAUCACUUAAAGGUUAGGUCUUGAUGAGAGACCUCCAUGACAGAGGAGCUACAUGAGAAGCAAACCAAUCCACUGAGCUAAGGGGUUUCUGGCUUGUGGGAGUCAGAGGCAUUUCAAUAGGUUGUGCACCCAGGGAAUAAUUUAUUUGUUUCAGUGAAGGAGGAAGUGAAUGACAAGGCAAACAAAUAAGGACAAGCUAGAAGUAAAAAGCUAACAAAACAACCACAAAAAUGGCCAAGAAGGCAAGACCCACGCUAAGCUAACCUGAGGCAACCUAAAGGGUUGAGGGUGGGAUGGGUAUUCCCCUUCCUUCCUUCCUUCCUUCCUUCCUUCCUUCCUUGCAUUCAUGCCACAAAAGCAGCCUUUCACCCUCACAGAUCUCUGUCCACAAAAGAUGGCAAGUGGAUGUAGGACACACUCAGCCAUGGGGAAGAUACAGAUGCAGGCAGAGGAAAAAAGCUGGAAGGGAUUUGCAGCUUCUGCCUAUGUCUGUCUCUGGAGGUGGCAGGCAGAAGCGACAGAUCCAUUCCAGCCUUUUUCUUCUGCCUGCAUUGAUUUGUGGUUGGGUUUGUUUUUUUUAACAUUAGAAUGUGGCUGGGCACACCUGGCACACCCCUUGAACAACCCAAUUGUAGGAGUUACUGGAGUUCUAUUAUGUAGUAACACCUUUCUUAGGCUCUCACCCAGCAAACAUGAAGUAUUGAGCUCAGUUCACACAAAUUGGCUAAUGAGGAAGUUACAAGUGUUUCAGGACUGUGUGGAAGAUUGUGUGGUUUUCCAUGGGGGGGAAAAAUCCCUGCAUAUGAAAGAUGAGCACAUCAGGGGGAAAGCCUGACUUUGCAUUAACAUUACUUUUCUGCAUUACAUUGGUUUCUGGAAAGAUGUAAGAGGGGAAAAGGGAUCCCCAUCAGCUCUAUAAAGAGAUUCAGGUGAAUAGUAGUUCUGCCACCUCAUGUACUGUUUGUCUAAACUAACCAUGCAAAUUAAAGGACUGCUGCCAUGUCCCAUGCUCCUUCCUUUUUUAAAGACAAUCUAACCUCUGAACAGGCACACUUUUUCUUGAGGGGAGAAGUUGCAUGAUCUCGCGAAGGGAACAAGUAAACACCCAUUUGCUUCUGUCUCCCUUAGGCUCAAUGUUCAUAGACAUCCACAUGGAUGGUCAUUUGAAAUGCCAUUGCAUGAAGGCUGCUUCAUAUGGCAAAACUAUUUGUAUGAGAGAAUGUCUAGUGUAGGUGUUGCAAUUUUCACCAUACCACCAGCAGCUCUCUCUCUCCUUUUUCUCUUUUUUUGCAGGUUGAGAGCACACAGAGGAAAAGGUCCAGACAAUAUGGAGAACCACCAACAUAAUGAGGUUUGCAAACAUUGCAAAUAAGUCCAUCAACAUUACUUGCACAUACAAAUGUUGAUUAGCCCUUCUGCUAUAUACUGAGUCAAACUAUUUAUGUAACUCACUUUCAUUGACAGUGGCUGGCAAAAGAUCUCCAGGAUCUUGGAAAGUAGUCUGGCCUAGCCCUUCUCGGAGAUGUCAGGAAUUUGAUCCAGGGCUCCUCCCCCCAUGCAAAACAUAUCCUUUACUACUGAGCAACAGCCUUUGCCCAUAUAUCAGUAUUAGUCAUUUUAGGCACAUCAGUAGUUUGGGAAAAGAAAAAGGAACCAGCAAUCAUUCAAAUCAUAAAAGUUUAACUACUCCAUCUUGCUGCCUGGAGAACAUCCUGUUUUCUUUCUCAGCUGUUUACAAACUUGGGUUGGGGAGUCAAUAACUUCAGAUAUAUGGGUUUGGGUCACUCUGUUCUUUAUAAAGCCAAAGAAAUGCAGGGAAGGCGUUAACUGGAUACGCAAAACUGUGUUGCUAAACUGCCAGUUGAUAGCUUUGAUGUCCAUAGGAAGAAAACCUCUCUAGUUUAGACAUAAACUAGUAUAAAUUUGCAUGAAGACGUAGGAUGAAUACCAGUUUGCAUCAACCAAAGAUAUGGAUGCAACAGGGCCAUUGCAUAAAGGAAGGAAGCGUUCGGCAUAAACGGAAUAGAAUUUGCUUUUUAACAUUAUGAUCAUUAUUGAUUCCUAGCAUGACAUGAA